rnacentral:rRNA from 1 species
CCUACGGGAGGCAGCAGUAGGGAAUCUUCCACAAUGGGCGAAAGCCUGAUGGAGCAACGCCGCGUGGGUGAAGAAGGUCUUCGGAUCGUAAAACCCUGUUGUUAGAGAAGAAAGUGCGUGUGAGUAACUGUUCACGUUUCGACGGUAUCUAACCAGAAAGCCACGGCUAACUACGUGCCAGCAGCCGCGGCAAUACGUAGGGGGCAAGCGUUAUCCGGAUUUAUUGGGCGUAAAGGGAGCGUAGGCGGUCUGUUAAGUCUGCUGUGAAAGCCGUCGGCUGAACCGGAGUAGUGCAUUGGAAACUGGGAGGCUUGAGUGCAGAAGAGGAGAGUGGAACUCCAUGUGUAGCGGUGAAAUGCGUAGAUAUAUGGAAGAACACCAGUGGCGAAGGCAGCUCUCUGGUCUGUAACUGACGCUGAGGUUCGAAAGCGUGGGUAGCAAACAGGAUUAGAUACCCCUGUAGUC